AUCUUAUCAAGAGCAGGUGGAGGGACUAGCCCGAUGAAACCCGGCAACCGGCGUGUGAACGCACGGUGCUAAUUCUUGCAGGAGACGGCUUCUUUUAUGUAUGACUUAAAGAAGCUACCUGACAGAUGAGAG
rnacentral:ncRNA from 2 species